ACACACACACACACACACACACACGGAUGAUUAUGACCAACACAACACUGAUAUAUCUAAAACAUUGGAUAGGCAGAAGUGUUCAGUCUGAAUCAGAGCUGCAAUUACAAGUAGAAUUGUUAUUAUAGAAGAGAGGGCCAUGGCUACACAUUCUGAUCUUAUUUAAUGUUUAACACCACACAUACGUAUUCUUGAUGUAAUACAUGAGUCAUCUGCUCCAGUGCAGCUGCUCAGCGACAAACACAACAAGGUGAUUUGUGUCAGUCUCUAGCAUGCCAAUAUAUUCUACAAAAUACACACACACUGUACUGUGUCAUAAAUAUAUAAUGAGGUAUGAGCCAUGUGUCAAAACCAGCUCACUCAACACAGAACAAACAGCAGCGCUGCACUUCUGUGCAAGUGACACAUUUGGUGUUUCUUUACAACCAGGCAAUAAACACACCGGCAACAUGUUGAUAUAAUGGAAUAAUGAACAACUGCAAUAACACUGUUUUUUUUACAAUGCAUUUUCUGUCUGUUAAAAUAGCAUUUUCUAAAAGAUAAAUCUGUUGAUGAAUGAAUUGAUCCCACUAACAAGUCUUGUUUGUUUAUCCAAAGCCUGAUAUACUUUAUUCCACAGAGCUCCAUUGGUGUCCCAAAACUAGGCAGUUUACUGUCAUAGAGGAGGAAAGAAACCAGAAAAUAUUCACAUUUGAAAAGCUGAAAUGAGAUUUUUUUUUUUUUUUUUUUAAACUCAAAUCGGUUAAUCGAUUUUCAACAUAGUUGCCGAUUAAUUUAAAAGUGGACAACUCAUCGAUUAAUCGACUAAUCGUUCCAGCUCUACCCAAAACUACAGCCACGUGUUGCGCCAGCAGCAGCCGUGUCUGAAUGUCAGGCCAGGAGUCUUGCAGCUGAGCGUCAGAGUACAUCCUAAACAAGAUCCUCAGGCUGCAGGCAAGACUGCUGGUCUCCUGCUUCAAUAAGUUGGGCUUGGAUUUCCCUUUAAAGCCUGAGGGCAAAAGAGAGUCAUUGAUAAAAAUAAAGAGUGCUGUCCUCUGUUCAUUGUUGGAGUUGAAGUCCUUGGCGAAGGUGUGCGACUCCAGCAGACAGUCCAGCAGCUUGAAGAGGUGUGCAGAAGUCAUGUGUCUGUACAUUCCCUGAUCUGGACCCGCCUCGCCUCCCUCAGCCUCCGACUCUUCCAGAGCAUCUCGCUGACGGGAGGACAGUUUUAGACAACUUUAACUAAGCAUACCUGACAAUUUAAAAAGGUACAAAGGGAUGUCCAAGAUUUUCUUAGCAUGCCAUGGCCUGAUCUGACAUUCGAUCAAAGCAUGAUCACUUCCCCAUACAAUUCAUUUCAGUGAGUAGCACUUCUGCUAAGGUUAAGAACAAUAUAUUAUAUAAAAACAAUUCAUAUAGUAGCUAUUAUAACAUACCUGUGCAGCAGCCAUGUUCUCAGCAUCCUCCUUCUUGCUGGUUGCUGGGAAGAAGACAAUGUUGUCUAUGGUCUGGAUAAGUUCAAGCUGGACAACGCAUUUAAUCAGCAGCCCUGCAAACAGCUUCUGGUCUGAAACUUCUGUAGAGGGGAAAAAACAAAGGAAGUGUAGCGACAUGAGCAUUUGAGGGAAAAAUUGACUUUGAAGAGGGACAAAAAAGCAACAGUGGCAGUUAAAUGUUUCAAUAACAAGCCAGAAACAAACGUGUUGUAGAACAGCUGAAAUAUUUAUUUCUGCCUCCAUGCUGCCAUUUCCGGGGUUUUGUUCAGAAAGACUUUCAGACAGAAUUUGAGUGAAUGCUGUGUACUCACUAGCAUUGGAUUUGCCCUUCCAGGUGUCAUCGCUGGACAUCUGGCUGUGUCCUCUCUCAGACAGAGCUCUGUCAUAGCUGCUCUGGGACUGGCUGUCAAAAUCAGCGUCCUGGAGACAUACAGAAUGGCCGUUCACAUGUUAGUGUCAUACGUCUGGUGGAAAUAUAAGGGUCCUUUUAUUGGCUAAAAGCAGCUUAUCACAUUCCAGACCAAGCAUGAACCAUCUGCUGAGCUGCUGUUGUACAUACUGUAAUUAUUGUUUGGUUAAUGAGUGUGUUUAUGUUCUUACAAAAUGCUUGCCAUCUGCAGUUUCCUCUUCCUGUCCAGCAGGUCGCCAAGUCAACAAACUGAUGUAAAAAGCAAACAGAAAGGCAGAUCAGGAAUCAGGUGUUGUUGCAACUUGCAUCCUGUCACAGCACUAAAGCACAAAAAGCCUUUUAGUACAUUAGCUUUAAUCCCUAAAAUUGCCAUUAACUCCCCGCUGAGAUGACUGAGCUUUUUCUCUUCAAAACAGGGAUGAUGAAAUAUAAUAGAUGACUGAAUAAACGCUAUCACCAUGACGUUCACAUGCAGUUUCUUUGACAUCGUUGAGCUGAAACUUAAUUGACCUCGUCUCUGGCUGAAAGUACAGCAGUUCGGGGCUUACACGUGAGGGCUGGUGUUCUGGAAGAUCUCCAGCAUACAGGAGCAGGUGAUGUUCCAGACCUGGGGGCUGAACUUCUCCCCGUUCAGAAUCACCAGGUUCUCCAGACAGUUUGUCCCCGACCGAGCCAGCUGCUCGUUGUCUGUAGAAGAAAGGUCAAAACAAACAACCAUGGGACCCGAUGGCCUGCUGCCAGUGACCUCUGACCUCUGUCUGCUGCUCGGGGAGCUUCAUGUUGUCAAAGAUGCGGAAGACGAUUCUGAAGAGGUCGUGCCACCAAUGCUUCUCGAACGUGUGACCGUAACUCUUCAUGAUCUCAAACAUGACAGUCAGACCUCUGUCAGGAGCAAAGAAAAACAGUUCACUCAUCAGUCACCACAGAGAGCAGAGUAUGGAACCACUGGUACUGAAAUAUGAGUGCUUUUUUUGACUGUACUGACGUCCUCUUUUUUAAGUGAUCUCUUGCUAGUCUUCAUGCUUGGUUCAGCUUUGAUAAUAAGAGUUCGGUAUUUAGCAGCAAGCAUGUAUAUAAAUGCCUAAAUGUUCAGGCACCAAGUUUUACAAAGACAUGACAGGGGUUUUUGGGGCAUUUAAGGGCUUUCAAUGUGCAGGUCCAAAGUUUGUAACAGCUUACCAGAUGAUACUUUCUUUUAAUUACAGGAAAUAACUAUGGUCAAUUAUUUAUUCGAUUAAACUUUCAGCCAAUGUAAAGUCUACAAAAUAUGAAAACCCACGUUCUGAGAGCACAAAGGGACAUCUUCAAAUGUCUUAUUUUGUCUGACCCAAAGAUAUUCCAUUUCUAAUAUCAUCAAACACAGAAAAGAAGAAAGUCCUCGUAUUAAAAGGACCAGCUGGACCCAGCAAAUUUGUGGCAUUUUUGCAGGCUAAUUGGUUAAUCUACUAAUCAUUUCAGAUUUAUUUUGAAUAAUAAUAAGUAAUUAUAAUUAAAUCUGUAUGUUAACUUUCUCUUAAAUCUGUAAUGUAGUUAAGGCUCAGCAGUCUUGUUGUUAUCAUGAUUUGGGGGUGACCAGGACCACUACGGAAAUAAGUUCUGUUAACUGUCGGUGUUUUUAUCCUGUCAUGCUUCAAUUUUAUGCAUCACACCUUGUUUGUGUGCCAUCGUAUUUAGUUUCAUUUAUUUUAUUUCUUUUAAUUUUUUUCUGUCUUUGCAACAAGUAGGGACAGUUAAAGCACACAUUGAGAGCUCAAACUGUCAUUUCACUGAGACUCCAUGCAGAGUUGUUUUUCUACCUGGUCCGGACAUCCAGCUUGCAGCGAUUGAUGAUACAAGAGAGCUCAAACAGAAUUGGAAACCAGCCACGAACCCACACCCGAUCUCCAGGGGCCACAUUCAUGUCAUCACUGGUGUAUUCCCUCAGGGUCUAGACAGAGACACAGCAGGACAGAAAUUUAAAGUGUAAUAUUACAAAAUUAUGUUUUGAAGAAACCACAUGUUUGCAAUUUGCAAACGAAAGAUGAAUGCUCUCACACAAUUGGCAUUUUAAAUGAACCAGUAUAGUCCCAAGUCAUUUGUUCCUACCUGUGGCCUUUCUGAGACAUAUUUAGCACAGUGUCGAAUGAGUCUGAUAGCCUCCAUGCUGGUGUCAGGAAAAGCUGCGUUACACACAAACUCUGACAGGCACUUUACCGCAUCCUGGAACGAAUCAAUAGCAGCUGCAAAGUGCUCCUGGAAGGUGUUCACUGAAGCGAGAGUGAUAAAGAGAAGGAAAGCAAGUAAGAAAACAAGAAUCAACUAGUUGUUGGUUUGUUGUUUGGUUGGUUAAAGGGAUCUUAAAUCUCUCCUGUCAUUCAUUCUCACAGAGGAUCCGUGUCACUGUCAGCUGAGCGGUUUGACACAACACUACCUCUGUCACUUGUUUUUUUUAAAUCACCUGAGCCAAAUGGCCGCCCCGAGGAAAGAGCUGCCGUCAUACUCACUGACAAUGUGCCCAGUGGUCUGGAAAGCCAGCUCCACUAUAGUCUCAUCGUGGUCGGAGGCUGCCUGGUGAAACACUGAGAAGAUGUUCUUCCAACCUGAACGGAUGUUGGCCGCCUGGGAGUUUACCAUCUGAGCCACACACCUGAUCACCAUGUCUCUGAUAGUGGGGGACCUGAGGCAGAGGAGGGAGGGGUGUGUCAACAAUACUGUGUUUCUUUAACAGUUAUUAUAACAUUAACUCACCAUUCAAAACCAUUCUUAUGACCCCACUACUUUUUACAAUAAAGUACAGUCUUUCAUCCCAGCCGCCCAUAUUACAGAACUCUCUACCUGUUCUUCUUCAUGAUGUGCUCAAACGGCCUGAGGAAGUCUUUCUGGAAGCGGAAGUUGGCCAGCUCUCCUUUCUCCAAGAACUUCAUGGAGAGCUGCCUCAGUGAGUCCACAGCAAAGAUGGCUACAUCCUCAUUAGGGUUACAGCCCACCUAGAGGGAGACGCAGUUAUCAAUGGAGCUCAGCUAUGCAUCACAUUUGUUUCUUGAGUGUACUGUAUGCUCAUGAUUGAACCUGCAUUUAUUGAUUUUGUUCGCCACUUGGGGGCAGUGCAACGAGCUGUAAACAACAUUUCACAUGAUCUACAUGAUAUGGUAACUUUGUACAAAAUUAACAUUUAAAGUUUAAUAUAAGAUGAGCAGAGUCUAACUGUAAUAAAUCUAAUUCUAUAUUGACA